CCCACCCCUCCCGAGAGCAGUGCCGGCAGCGCUCGCCUACUAUUUUGAGAACAAAGGAAGGCAAAUUAUAGAAUCCCAGAGAGAGAGAGAGAGGUGGGGAGAAAGAGUGCGGGGGACGCCGAGACCCUUUCGCCUUGCACGCGCAGACACCCACGGACACACACGUGUGCGCGCCACAUCUGGGUCUAUCUACCCUCGGGUGGGUGGGUCACGCGUUUAGGCUCUCUCGUGGACCUGCUGUUGUGUGCGCCAGAGUCCAGGUGCCCAGGAGAGGUUCGAGUCAGGAUAUAACGUCCUACUGGGUUUGAGGGACUACCUUCCUCCCACCACCCGAGACUCAGCACCGCAGGCGGGUCCGCCCACCUGCCUUCCACCGCAGGGUCCAGCGCAGCCCUGGGGCCAGAGCGCGAGACUCUCCUCCCGGAAGCAGGGACACCCUGCCCUUUCUCCUCCAGCUGUGCCCCCCUGCGGGUGGAGGAAACCCCGCAGGGAUCCAUCCUACUUCCCGAGGUUCGCCCCAACCCUGGGCGGAGGAUGGGCUGGACACUACCGGUGUGUGGUCUAAGAGGGAGCCUCCUCUUAGAAGGUCGAUUGAUUUGGGAAAGUCUGAGGACCCGGUUGCUGUCUGGCCAGUCAUUGAGGAUGCAGCUAGGAACAAGAAAAACUCUAUAUUCACGGACAGGAGAACAAUGGUUUCUCACCUGGUCUGAAACCUGUCAAGGGAAUGAGAAUGACUGGACAGCAAGCCCUAAGAGUCUUCCUGUGUGUGCCUGCGCAGUGCUGGAAUUCAAAGCAUGUGUCACCAUGCCCAGUUUUUGUUUGUUUGUUUUGUCUUAUCGUGGCUCUGGGGAUCAAACUCAGGUCCUCAUGUGUUCAUAACAAGUACUUUACCAACUCAGUCAUCUCUUCAAGCCUAUUUUAACUUCUUUGUGUGCGUAGGGCUUGAGGCCUUAUGCAUGACAAGAACUGUACAGCUGUGCUGAAUCCUUGGCUUUCAAUUUCUUCUGAAACAGAAUAAAAAGACUCCCAGUCCCCCUAAAGGAAACAAAGGUCAUUUAUUGGAUUGCUUGUUGAAGGAUGUGGUGGUGAGGGCUGAUUUGGACUGGAUGGCCAUCAGGAGCCCAGCUCUCUCCAUCAAAUGUCUUUGUUACUAUUUGCCUCUUCUCGGAGCUAACUGGCUAAAACGUCUGAAGGAAGUAGGGCUGGGAAUGGAGUUCAGUGGUAGAGCACUUCUUAAAUUCAUGGAGACCUGGGUUCCAUCCUCCACACCAGCAAACAAGUGAACGUCUGCAGGAAGCAGCCUCAUAGUUCCACCACCGCUGCUCCCGUGCAGACUAUUUCUCCAUAUUGUGGCAUUCUGUGGCUUAAACAACAGCCUUUGGAUGGGAACUUAGCUCUUCAUCCAACUAGAGGCCAUGUUUAAACAAGGAACAAUGCCAACACCUUCCCUGGCUAGGAGGCUCUGAGUAAGGUGGUGUGAGUUCCAAGGGGGUAUUGGGUAACCAGCAUUUAUAUUGCUCUUUCUACGUGGGUAAAGGAAAGAUCUUUUUAUGUGUGUCAAAGAUGGCUAAGUACAAAUACAAGAAUGGUUUUUCCUUUUUUAACUCCAAAACUGCACUUUGCAUUG